rnacentral:rRNA from 1 species
GACGAACGCUGGCGGCGUGCUUAACACAUGCAAGUCGAGCGGUAAGGCCCUUUCGGGGUACGACGAGCGGCGAACGGGUAGGAGUAACAACGUGGGUGGACCUCGCCCUUACGUCUCUGGGAGUAAAGACCUCGGGAAACGUAGGGUCGUAAUAACCGGAGUAUGACUCCAUGACGCAUGUUGUGGGGUGGGAAAGACCUUGUGCGGC